GACGAACGCUGGCGGCGUGCUUAACACAUGCAAGUCGAACGGAAAGGCCCUGCUUUUGUGGGGUGCUCGAGUGGCGAACGGGUGAGUAACACGUGAGUAACCUGCCCUUGACUUUGGGAUAACUUCAGGAAACUGGGGCUAAUACCGGAUAGGAGCUCCUGCUGCAUGGCGGGGGUUGGAAAGUUUCGGCGGUUGGGGAUGGACUCGCGGCUUAUCAGCUUGUUGGUGGGGUAGUGGCUUACCAAGGCUUUGACGGGUAGCCGGCCUGAGAGGGUGACCGGCCACAUUGGGACUGAGAUAUGGCCCAGACUCCUACGGGAGGCAGCAGUGGGGAAUAUUGCACAAUGGGCGGAAGCCUGAUGCAGCAACGCCGCGUGCGGGAUGACGGCCUUCGGGUUGUAAACCGCUUUCGCCUGUGACGAAGCGUGAGUGACGGUAAUGGGUAAAGAAGCACCGGCUAACUACGUG
rnacentral:rRNA from 1 species